rnacentral:rRNA from 1 species
AGUGAACGCUGGCGGUAGGCCUAACACAUGCAAGUCGAACGGCAGCACAGUAAGAGCUUGCUCUUACGGGUGGCGAGUGGCGGACGGGUGAGGAAUACAUCGUAAUCUACUUUUUCGUGGGGGAUAACGUAGGGAAACUUACGCUAAUACCGCAUACGACCUACGGGUGAAAGCAGGGGAUCUUCGGACCUUGCGCGAUUGAAUGAGCCGAUGUCGGAUUAGCUAGUUGGCGGGGUAAAGGCCCACCAAGGCGACGAUCCGUAGCUGGUCUGAGAGGAUGGUCAGCCACACUGGAACUGAGACACGGUCCAGGCUCCUACGGGAGGCAGCAGUGGGGAAUAUUGGACAAUGGGCGCAAGCCUGAUCCAGCCAUACCGCGUGGGUGGAGAAGGCCUUCGGGUUGUAAAGCCCUUUUGUUGGGAAAGAAAAGCAGCAGGUUAAUACCCCGCUGUUCUGACGGUACCCAAAGAAUAAGCACCGGCUAACUUCGUG